rnacentral:rRNA from 1 species
AGCAGCCGCGGUAAUUCCAGCUCCAAUAGCGUAUAUUAAAGUUGUUGCAGUUAAAAAGCUCGUAGUUGAAUUUCGAGAUCAAAUUGUUGGUCGUGCCUCGGUACGUACUGGCAUUAUUGAUUUCUCCCUUCUGAAGAACCUUGAUGUCAUUAAUUUGGUGUCUUGGGGAAUCAGGACCGUUACUUUGAAAAAAUUAGAGUGUUUAAAGCAGGCUCACGCUUGAAUACAUUAGCAUGGAAUAAUGAAAUAGGACGUUUGAUUCUAUUUUGUUGGUUUCUAGGAUCGACGUAAUGAUUAAUAGGGAUAGUUGGGGGCAUUAGUAUUCAAUUGUCAGAGGUGAAAUUCUUGGAUUUAUUGAAGACUAACUACUGCGAAAGCAUUUGCCAAGGAUGUUUUCAUUAAUCAAGAACGAAAGUUAGGGGAUCGAAGACGAUCAGAUACCGUCGUAGUCUUAACCAUAAACUAUGCCGACUAGGGAUCGGAUGAUGUUAAUUUUUUAAUGACUCAUUCGGCGCCUUACG